rnacentral:siRNA from 1 species
AUCCUCGAGCAGUCAUUCAGGUU